UGGGGAAUUUUGGACAAUGGGGGAAACCCUGAUCCAGCCAUCCCGCGUGUGCGAUGAAGGCCUUCGGGUUGUAAAGCACUUUUGGCAGGAAAGAAACGUCAUGGGUUAAUACCCCGUGAAACUGACGGUACCUGCAGAAUAAGCACCGGCUAACUACGUGCCAGCAGCCGCGGUAAUACGUAGGGUGCAAGCGUUAAUCGGAAUUACUGGGCGUAAAGCGUGCGCAGGCGGUUCGGAAAGAAAGUUGUGAAAUCCCAGAGCUCAACUUUGGAACUGCAUUUUUAACUGCCGGGCUAGAGUGUGUCAGAGGGAGGUGGAAUUCCGCGUGUAGCAGUGAAAUGCGUAGAUAUGCGGAGGAACACCGAUGGCGAAGGCAGCCUCCUGGGAUAACACUGACGCUCAUGCACGAAAGCGUGGGGAGCAAACAGG
rnacentral:rRNA from 1 species